rnacentral:rRNA from 1 species
GAGUAAUGUCUGGGAAGCUGCCUGCUUGAGGGGGAUAGCGGAGCGAAAGUUCCGAUAAUGCCGCGUAAGCCCGAGAGGGGAAAGUGCGGGACCGCAAGGCCGCACGCGAGCAGAUGCGCCCAGAUGGGAUUAGGCAGUUGGGGAGGUAACGGCUCACCAAACCGAUGAUCUCUAGCUGGUUUGAGAGGACAAUCAGCCACAUUGGAAUUGAGAAACGGACCAAACUCCUACGGGAGGCAGCAGUGGGGAAUAUUGCACAAUGGGGGAAACCCUGAUGCAGCCAUGCCGCGUGUGUGAAGAAGGCCUUCGGGUUGUAAAGCACUUUUGCAUUCGAGGAAGACAGCACGUAAAUAAACGUGUUAUUUGACGUUAGAGUGUGAAUAAGCACCGGCAAACUCCGUGCCAGCAGCCGCGGUAAUACGGAGGGUGCGAGCGUUAAUCGGAAUGACUGGGCGUAAAGGGCACGCAGGUGGCGAGAUAAGUUGGAUGUGAAAUUCCCGUGCUUAACAUGGGGACUGCAUCCAAAACUGUUGAACUGGAGUACUGUAGAGGGAGGUAGAAUUCCACG